AUAUGGUUCCUGAUUUGGUAUAAUCUUUAGUCCCCUUACUGAUUUAUUUCUGUCUCAAAUUCCAGUUAUAAUCCAGAUAAUCAUCAUAUCACGAUUAUUCAAACCCUAGCUUCUGUGAAUAGCCAAGCUGCAUUCUCUUAUUUAGUUUUGUUGGUAAUCGUGCUAUUGAUCUCCUGGAGUUAAGCUUCUUCACUGCACCGUUUAUGCCCUCAUCUUUAUUUUAUGCAGACUCGAGAGAUUAGUCCUUCCUCCUGAACCUUGAUCUGCAACUCCCUCAUUUUGGACUUCCAUCUGGUGCAUUCCCUUUUUUUUUGGAUCAAAACCAGGAAAAGAUAGUGCUUCUUUUGUUCUUGCUAAUAGAGAAUCUGAACUUGCGUUGUUUAUCUGAACAAUUAUUGUUGGAACUGGAGCUUCUUUCUGUUUGCUUGCUGUUUGGUCAUUUCUGUGGCAGAGCAAGUGUCAGACUAGAUCUCUAGUAUCUGCAUUGAAUUAGCUACCUGGAUUUCAAUUUCAAGAAUUUGGGCUGAAGCUAUCUGAUUCAAUCUACAGACUUGAGGGAGUAGCCCUUCCUCCCGAACCUUGUUAUGCAAUUCCCUCAUUUUGGACUUCCGUCAGCAUUCUAAUUUUGUGGAUCAAAACCAAGAGAAGAUGAUGCUUCUUUUGUUCUCUCCAAAGAAAUACGUCUGAACUGACAUGUCGUUUCACUGAACAAUUGUUGGAACUGGAGU
rnacentral:lncRNA from 1 species